GUGGGGAAUCUUCCGCAAUGGACGAAAGUCUGACGGAGCGACGCCGCGUGAGUGAAGAAGGCCUUCGGGUCGUAAAGCUCUGUCAUCAGGGACGAAUGGCCGGUGGAGUGGAAAGCCACCGGAUUGACGGUACCUGAGAAGGAAGCCACGGCUAACUACGUGCCAGCAGCCGCGGUAAUACGUAGGUGGCAAGCGUUGUCCGGAAUUAUUGGGCGUAAAGCGCGCGCAGGUGGGAUCUUAAGUCCAUUUUGAAAGUUCGGAGCUCAACUCCGUGAUGGGAUGGAAACUGGGAGUCUUGAGUACCGGAGAGGAAAGCGGAAUUCCCCGUGUAGCGGUGAAAUGCGUAGAUAUGGGGAGGAACACCAGUGGCGAAGGCGGCUUUCUGGACGGUGUCUGACACUGAGGCGCGAAAGCCAGGGGAGCGAACGGGAUUAGAUACCCCGGUAGUCC
rnacentral:rRNA from 1 species